rnacentral:rRNA from 1 species
UACAGAGGUCUCAAGCGUUGUUCGGAAUCACUUGGGCGUAAAGGGUGCGUAGGUGGGUUGGUAAGUCAGUGGUGAAAUCUCCGUGCCUUAACAUGGAAACUGCCAUUGAUACUACUGAUCUUGAAUUUUCAGGAGGUAAGCGGAAUAAUGUCAUGUAGCGGUGAAAUGCUUAGAUAUGACAUAGAACACCAAUUGCGAAGGCAGCUUACUACAGGAAUAAUUGACACUGGAUGCACGAAAGCGUGGGGAUCAAACAGG